rnacentral:rRNA from 1 species
UACGUAGGGGGCGAGCGUUGUCCGGAAUUAUUGGGCGUAAAGAGCUCGUAGGCGGCUUAGUAAGUCGGCGGUGAAAUACCGAGGCUCAACCUCGGCACUGCCGUCGAUACUGCUAUGGCUAGAGUCUGGUAGAGGAGAACGGAAUUCCCGGUGUAGCGGUGGAAUGCGCAGAUAUCGGGAGGAACACCCGUAGCGAAGGCGGUUCUCUGGGCCAGUACUGACGCUGAGGAGCGAAAGCGUGGGGAGCGAACAGG